GGCAGCAGCAAGGGAUUUUGCGCAAUGGGCGAAACUGACGCAGCGACGCCGCGUGGGGGAUGAAGGCCUUCGGGUUGUAAACCCUUUUCCUGAGGAAGAACUAUGACGGUACUCGGGGAAUAAGUCUUGGCUAACUACGUGCCAGCAGCCGCGGUAAUACGUAGGAGGCAAACGUUAUUCGGAUUUACUGGGCGUAAAGCGGGUGUAGACGGCUUCUUAAGUCGGGUGUGAAAUCUCCUGACUCAAUCAGGAGGGGUCAUUCGUUACUAAGAGGCUAGAGGACGGUAGAGGAAGGCGGAACUCCCGGUGUAGCGGUGAUAUGCGUAGAUAUCGGGAGGAACACCAGUGGCGAAGGCGGCUUUCUAGGCCGUUCCUGACGUUGAGGCCCUAAAGCGUGGGGAGCGAAACGGAUUAGAUACCCGUGUAGUCCACGCCCUAAACUUUGGACACUAGGUAUAGGGGGUAUCGACCCUCUCUGUGCCGAAGCUAACGCUUUAAGUGUCCCGCCUGGGGACUACGGCCGCAAGGUAAAAACUCAAAUGAAUAAUCA
rnacentral:rRNA from 1 species